AAAAAUUUAAAAAAUAUUUUCUUUUCUGAUACACAGUUUUUACCCAACUGAACAAAUCACGGAUUUGAUUAACGUCAUGACCUGAAAUUCCAAUCCGUUGUGAUGACGCCAAACACAAGCUAGGCAAGCCGAAACAAAACAAUAAAGAAUCCGAACAACAUAAAUUAUAGAAAUAACAUAAGUCUGAAACCUUAAUGUAACAAAAUACUGCCAAUAUAAGGUAAAUCUCCUAGAAACUGGUAAAUACGAAGUCAUGAGCUCUAUUACAGAAUAUAGGUUUGAAAAAACUAAAUAAUAAUACUGUUUGAACUGAAACAACAGUAUAUAAGAAAAGACAAGUCAAACUGUGGCCAAUGAUAUAUGCAGCUCUGCCUCACCUCUCGAUGCUCAAUCCAACAAACAAAUCUACUGCUGAUAACUGGUCUCUACAACUGGAUCUGCACAAUUAAGUGAUGGGUGUAAUAUGAGUACAAUCGACCCAAUGUACUUAAUAAGAAUCAUCACUAACUUCGGUGAGGUAAAAAGGAACGAAUUAUGAAUGAUACUAGCUAUAACCUGUAUAAUUUUAUUAUUUUAACAAGUAUAUAACAAUAAUAAAAUCAAGUCAUAAAGCACAGGAAUAACAUCUGUUUGUAUGUGUGCAGUUACUCAAUACUCUGUUCAGUCAAUGUUCAGCAUGUAGAGAUGAUAUGUAGUUAAUUCAGGUAAUUAACCAUGAAAAUUGCAAAUAAAAAUGAAAUGCAAAAUCCAAACAAACACUAGCCAGAUUUCCUCAGCCUUUCCAUAUUCUUACCAAACCACUGAGCAGUUUUUCUCAAUAUCCGCAUGUACGCCAUCAAGAGAGAAAUAUGAGAGGAUGACCCUGGGGUAUGGAUCCAUAUCCACAUGCAAGAAUGGCAAAUUCAAUGUUCUACCAGCCCAGCGUGGUCAUAGUCUCAAUAUCAUAAUCCACACGGCGUGGUCACAGACAUAACAAUGCAAUCCUGACGUGGUCAUAGGUAUAACAACAUAAUCCGCCUGGCAUGGUCACAACCAUAACAACAUAAUCUGUCCAACGUGGUCACAUGCAUAACAACAUAAUCUGUCCCACGUGGUCACAAGCAUAAUAACAUAAUCCGCUCGGCGUGGUCACAAGCAUAUCAACAUACUCCGCUCAGCAUGGUCACAUGCACAGUAACACAAUCCGCCUAGCAUGGUUACAUGCAUAGUAAUACAAUCCGUCCAGCGUGGCAAUAUGCAUCCAAUCCAAAUCAUAUCAUACAGAAGCAAAUGUACAAAUAUACAUGUAUAUGAUGAAUGAAUAGCAGAUCCAUGCUCAUGGACUGGUAUAAGUGUCAUGCUAAAGUGUAGGCAUGUGCAUAGUGUGCUAUCAUAGCUCAAAUCGGCUAUGUUAUCACAGAGAUAACAAUUAUCAAGUUCAUUCAUGGAUUUAGCCUUUAUGUAACCUCAAACAUGGUUCAAAUAGUUCAAAACAAUGUUACAAAAAUGAGAAACAUUAUAGCUUAAAGCUUAACAGUCAAUUCUAUGCAUAUCACAGCCUAAGCACUACCCGAGCAUGGAUAAAUACCCUGGUGUUUGCACAAAGGCUCAAACCAAGUUUAGAUAAGAUACUUACCUCUAGCAAAUCAAAUCACUCUGUUAUCAAGCCCUUCCCGUGCGUAUCAACCUCCUGAAGGAUCGAACCUAACCAAAAUAAUGUAAUGCUAUCAAUAAAAGACAUAAGGAGUUAUUCCAAAAGAUAAAGCUAAGAUCUUUAACUCAAGUCAAAAAGUCAACCCGGGACCGCAUUUCGGAAAUCAACAAAAUUCACAAAUUUCGAACAAUCAUUCAAUUACGAGUUCAAACAUACCACAACCAUCCAAUUCCAACCACAAAUCACCCCUCAAAUCUUCAAAUUUCACUCUCCAAUAACAUAGUCCAAACAUUCCCAAAUUUUUGUCACACUCCUUUUUUUAACCAAACUUCACUAACCCCUCUUAAAUAAAUAAAAGGAAUUUAUAAAGCUUGAAAAGGAUUUUUAAUUAAAAAGUGACAAAAUUUUGUGCAAAAUUAAAUUACUCAGAGUCGCCACCUGACAUUGAAUUCGGUAUGCCAGGUCAUCGUUUUCUUUAAAAAUAAUUUUUCCUUUUAAAACACUUAGACUCUAAAACCAAGUCCGCACCAGAGAUUCGGGUAAGGGGGUUUAUUUGACUCGGGGAGAAGGUGUUAGGCAUUCCACAAGUUCUGUAACUAAUACGGUUGCGUACAUAAUCAAGUUGGCUUUUAGAAUGUUCGAAUUGAGGUAAAAUACACAAAGAAAAAUAAACAUCCAAAAGGUUCGAGGUCGUCCCUUCCUAAUAAAAAAAUAAAACAAAAUAAAGUAAGUCUUCUUAACUUAUACUACGCCUCCAUUGAUGAUGCCACGACUCCAUUUACAUUUACUUCGGGGCAUUCCCCAGGUUAAAAUAUUUACAAUGUCUACGGGGCAUUCCCCGAAUGAAUUUAUCUAAGGGACAACCUCCCACCUUACGUUCAAACAUUAUAAGUUAAACUAAACAUCCCAAUGCUUGCCUCCCCAAAUAAUGACGGCCUAAGCAUGUUACUAGUGGGGAAGUGAAGAGCUAAUAAUAACUAAAUAGAAUUACUAAACUUUAAACGCGUUUCCAUUUUCUUUCAAUUUUUAAUUUUUUCAAUUAUACGACCUUUUGAUUCAAGCUUAACUAAUGAAAUAAUGAUAUAAUAUUUUCUUUUUAAACAAUACUACACCCAUACCCAUUUAUGUAAAACUUGAGCAAUUGAAUACCAAUUUAGUGAUCAUAAAAUUAAAUCAAAUUACAGUUCCGUGCGUCCAAACCAACAGAUUCAAAACUAUAAACACUUAAACACGGAAGUAAGGCAAAACAUAAGUAAUGGAAGAAGAUUAAAUCUAACCAAAAGUAAAUGAGAUAGUAGAACAGAAAGGAACCUGUUAAGAAAUUGUUCUUUAGUACCCGAAAAUUGAAAUAGCUUUGCCGAAGUGUAAAUCCGAAUGAAGGAGACAACAAUGAGAUGAAUCCGAAAACGCGAGCGAAACUCGAACCGGCAACCCAAAAUCAGCAAACUCUACGAGCAGCAACAAAAUCGGCUAGAACCUCAGUUAGAAUUGAUGGAGUCGAAUGAAAGAUGACGAGCUAACAGGUUUUCGGCGAAGCUCGACUUCGAGCACAGCUUCAAUGUAAGAUUUCAGAGCUGAACAAAUAGUGACCUUUUCGUGUGAGUUUCAGCUGGUAUGCAAGAGAAAAAAAUCGAGGGGUCGAUGGUUGUGGGUCGACUACUUUUCAGUUCCGUUUUGAGAUGAAAAAAGGAUAGUUUUCGAGCUGGUUUUUAGGGGAUUUUCGGAUUAGUUUCCGCCGGUUCCCGGUGAAGCUCGCCGGCAUUGGAACCUAGAUGCUUGAGAUCUAGAAACAUUUGGGAUUGGAGUGCUCUUGUGUGUGUUAGCUUCAAGAAAAUGAGAUGAGGGGUCGUUCGUGUCAGCCCGGAGAGAGAGGGGGUCAGUUUGCCGGUGUUGAAGGGGUCGCCGAUGGCUGGAGCUGGAGGAGUUAGUUGGUCGUGGAUGUGUGUGGAGUGGUCGCCGGCAGGUGAAGGUUGAUGUGGUAGCUGACUGUUCUCUUAGGAUUUUUUGUAUCUUUUUGUCUUGUGUUCAAGAAGAAGAUCUCAUGGGGUUCUUCUCAUGGUUUGUCCUGGAGAAGAAGAUGAAGGUCUGCUCCUUGUUUUGUGUAAUUCGUUGAAGAAGAUGAAGGUCUUCUCCAUGUGAAAUACGGCUGAACCCAUCCCUCUAGGUCUAGGUUUUUUUAUUUUUCUUGUAUAUUAUCUUAAAUGGGUGUCUAGGUUUGGGCUUUUGAGUUAAGGGGCUAAGAGAUUGGUUUAAUUGGGCUACAAGCAAGACUAAAUUGGUCCGGAAACUAAUUCUAUCCUCUCCUCCUUUUUGUAUAUAAAAAUAAUAUAGGAAACAAUAUAGCUAUUAAAAAUACUACUUAAUCUUACUUAAGAAAAUAACUAUUAAAAUAAUACUAACCGUUUAAAACAAACCUAUUUUUUGGUAUUUU
rnacentral:lncRNA from 1 species